rnacentral:misc_RNA from 1 species
ACGUCAUCCCCACCUUCCUCCGGUUUGUCACCGGCAGUCUCCCUAGAGUGCCCUUGCGUAGCAACUAGGGACAAGGGUUGCGCUCGUUGCGGGACUUAACCCAACAUCUCACGACACGAGCUGACGACAGCCAUGCAGCACCUGUGUUCCGAUUCCCUUUCGGGCACCCCCACCUCUCAGCAGGGUUCCGGACAUGUCAAGGGUAGGUAAGGUUGUUCGCGUUGCAUCGAAUUAAUCCACAUCAUCCACCGCUUGUGCGGGUCCCCGUCAAUUCCUUUGAGUUUUAACCUUGCGGCCGUACUCCCCAGGCGGUCAACUUCACGCGUUAGCUACGGUACCAAGGAAUCGCUUCCCCAACACCCAGUUGACAUCGUUUAGGGCGUGGACUACCAGGGUAUCU